AACCCCAAACUUGAAUCAUUCCUUGUCCUCAAGGAAUUUACUUGUAACAUUGACAAUCGACAGUAAAAUAACAAUUACCUGAUCAAGCGAUAGUAUCCAAAAGUUCAACACCUUACUAGCUAAAGAUGAGCUAGUUUGACUUGUUAGCAACCACCAAUUCACAACUCCACACAACAAUAUAAAAGGGUUCACACACAGUCG
rnacentral:lncRNA from 1 species